GCCUUGGUGGCGCAGCAGGUAGCGCUGCUGCUUCUGAAUUUUUCAACGCGGGUUCGACCCCCGCCGGGGUCA